rnacentral:lncRNA from 1 species
UUGUGUUCCCACCUCCCCCCCCAAACUCCCAUAUAUAUGGUCUUUUUGCUCUGCCCACAGGGACUGCUGGACUGGUGAGUGCAUUUGUCUUCAAGAGUGGGCGGCCAGCAUUCUGCUGGCAUACAGAGAUAUUUAUUCCUUUAUGAAACUGCACACGAAGAGAGAUCCAUGAGGCUGUAUCAUUCUUCUUUGAUACCAUGCAGACCACAGCAGCAUGCUGCUUCAACCAAGCUGGGACCAGCCAGGUCUGUGAAGGCUCCGCAGCAGCAGAUACAAGAAUGCUGUAUGUAAAAACAGUUGCUUCAGAAAUCAAGCAAAUGGAACUUCCAAAGUCGUGCUACAAAGGAAUUGUGAAAAGUGAUUUGAAAUAUGGGAGCUACUACUUGGACAAAUGGAGGCCAUACUUCAGAUGUGUUACACUACUGACAGAUGAGUGGAGAGUGCAGAAUGCCCGUUCUAUUACUAGCUUCACAGCAGAAUUUUCUAUUCUUGCCAUAGCUAAAAACAUUUGUAUCCAUGUGAAGCCAUCCGUGCUGGAGACAGGGAACCUGGAAUGCUACAACUUUGUCUAUGGCUUGAAUAGAGUAAUUCAGUCAGGUGAUAAAGAGUUUUAUGUUUCAUUCAUCUUAUCUUUGGUAAUUCCAUGUGUUAUUUCAAAAUUAAGUUUUAACUGCACUGAAAAUGGAGAUAAAUGGAAGAGUUUGUGCAGAACGUAAGCUCAUUUUAGCUUAAAUUCUCACCUUUUUAUUUUUUGAGGAAUCAUAACUUGAAGAGUCUUUUGAGUUCAUUAAAUGCAUUUUCCUCUAGUUCAUCUCAGUUCUUUAUUUCUUAAGGAAGAAGUAGUUCUGGAAGACUUCUCACUACUCAGAAAGUCAGUCAUUGUAGAAUAAAGAUUUUUUUUAUUCUACA